CCAAUCGACACUAAAUAUGUGUCCUGAAAAAAAAAAAUCUAGGAAGACGGUUUUGGUCGGAUACCAUCCUUCCGUCUCCUCUCUCUCUCUCUUCGGACCCUCUUUCCCUCGCUGAACAGCCGUCAUCACCCUUGCCGUCCCUUCCCCGUUCCCUGAUCUCAGGUUUGCCCUCUAAAUCCCCAUCGACCCAUAUCUCUUCUCCCACCAAUCGCCCUCCAAUUCGAUCAUCCUUCGUUCGAUCGAUCGAUCGAUCGAGAAGUUUGAUAUCAAUUCUUCUCUUUUCUCCAUCCAGUUCCCUCUUUAUAUUGCUAAAAGAUCAACCACGGUUCUGUAACAAUCAAAUUGGAUCCAAACCAUGCCCUUCUCCCAACCUUGCCGCGCUCCCGCCGCCGACGCCGGCGGCUACCACCACAAUUACCACCGAUCGGCCUUCACUCGCCCCGCAUACGAAGCCGCCGCCGUCCCCAGCCUCACCCAUUACCCUCAUAGAGAUUACGCCUACAGAAACCACCAAGAUUACGCCUCCAACCAUGCCGCCGCCUACCCUGGCGCGCCGCCUCCUCUAAAGAGGAGGAGGUCCGACGUCUCCAUGCGGGACGAUCAUGCCGGUAAUCGGUACUGCAAUGGGGUUGCCGGCGGCAAUGCCCUGUCGACGAGUCACGUUUCUUUUCUGCAGCCGAGGAGGCAUGAUGUUGGUGCUGUUCCGGCGCGCAGGCAGGCGGAGCCGGCAAAAGUGGAGGAGGAUGUGGCGUUCAUGUCGAGGGAUGAGAUCGAGAGGUGCUCGCCAUCGAGAAAGGAUGGAAUAGAUCCUGUUCUUGAAACGCACCUGCGGUACUCGUACUGCUCGUAUCUUCAGAGCCUUGGGAUGAGGCUCGAGCUGCCUCAAACUACAAUCGGAACUGCUAUGGUGCUCUGCCACCGAUUCUUUCUUCGUAGAUCUCAUGCUUGUCAUGAUAGAUUUGUGAGUUUGAUUGCUACAGCAGCUCUGUUCCUAGCAGCAAAGUCUGAGGAAACACCAUGCCUACUGAACUGUGUGCUAAGGGCAUCCUUUGAAAUUUCUCAGAAACAGGAAUUUGCUUUCUUUCCAUAUUUGCUACACAGUCAGGACUGGUUUGAACAAUAUCGUGAGAAGGUUAUUGAGGCUGAACAAAUGAUAUUGACAACCCUGGAUUUUGAACUUGAUGUGCAGCACCCUUAUGCUCCACUUAGAUCUGUUCUUGACAAGCUAGGACUUUCACAAACUCUUCUUCUUAAUGUCGCCUGGAACUUGGUUAAUGAAGGGGUCAUUCUUCACGAGAAUCAUGUGCUCACCUGUGUGAUAUUCUUAGCUGGAGCAUUCAUAUGCUGUUCAUGGAAAGCCUUUUUUUUCUUUUUAUGCAUUUGAAGUUGAGCAAUAGUGCAAUUUGGACAUGAUUGCAUGGAAAAUCUCAAAUCGAUUAUCCAGUUGGUUAUUAUUAAUGACUGAUAGAUCUUCAGAACAUGUUUCACUUGUAGUGCAAUUCUGUUCAUUCUUCCUCCUUGAUUUGUGAUAUCUGAUACUUUUAGGGUCAUUUCUCCUUGAGUUUCACCAUCUGGCUCAUGAAGUUUGCCUUCCAUUUAUCUUUGAGUUUUAUCUAAACCUCUUUGCCUCACUCAUGUCAUAUUCCAAUUUUAUUUUCUUGUCCCAUAUUUCUUAUUUGUUCAAUAAUCUCUGCAAACCUAAUUUUUAUAUUUACUUUUUGGUAGUUCAGCAUAUCUGCCUUGCAAAGCCAACCAAUGACAUUUUUUCCCCCCAAUUCAGAGUCUGGGUGAAACUUACAUUAAAUGGAUGAAGUUUCAAUAUACACUUUUGUCUUGGUUUCGCUUCUUUUUUAGUCAAUACCAGUCUCCUAAUUUCCAAGCAAUGGAGCAUACAUGCAAGUACAUCAGUUCUCUCUAUUUUGCAUCGUGCAUGCAUGCAACACAUGAAAAUCCCUAGGCAAAAAAAAAUCUCUAUCAUAACUUGAAUAUAUUAACUUAAAUUAAAAAAAUAAAAUGAAAGAUAAACCCUAAGAAUCAUCAAUGCAUGAAUUAUUUGAUGAUACAGUUUUCCAGAUCGAUUGCUGCUACCUUCUUAACCUCCCAGUAUGAUAACGAUGAGGUAGCUGAAUAAAUUUAUCUUCCGAUCCAUUUAAGAGGAUUCUUGUAGGUGACAAGCUGCCAGCUGCCCUACUAAUGAGACAAUGUUUUCUAAAUUUUGUUAGUUGGAUGUACAUAUAACACAAUGAAAUAUGUGCUAUGUUACAUGAAAAACUCCAACAGUAAAACAUAUUUUGUUACUAGAUUGCAGCUAUUAUGUUAUUAUUAUUGUUUCCAUUUAAUCAAAAGAUUUCAUUUGUCAAUCUGUACAACAUGGCUUAUCUCCUACUGGUUUGUAAAUUAUGAAAUUUGGGGUGAGGAAGUGAGUGAGACUUCUAUACAUCAUUCAGUCUUCUAUGACCUGUGUGGUUCUUUGUUUUUUAUAGUUCCAAAUUGCACCUUGCCUCAACCAAGUAGUUGAACCCUAUAUACUUAUCUCCAACUUUCUAGGCGCAACACAGAGUAUGGAAAGGAAAUCUCUUUAUCAUUUUCAGAAAGCACGUGAUACCCAUUCGCAUUUCAACCUAAUCAUGUUUGAAAAUGUAAUAGCAGUUCGGGAAAGCAUGCGCAUGGUCACUAUCUUGGCAUGGUGCUGGAUAUCUUAUUAGUCAUUUGUGAAAUAUCAUUGAUAAGCAGAAGCUAGAAGCAUCCAUGGGAGAAGCUUGUACUCUCUCCUCUGUGUCACAAAUCUCACUUACUUUUUCUGAUUGAAUAUUGUUUUUGGAUUCGGGAAGGGCAAUUGCCCCUGGAGCAUUCUUGGGUCCAGUCCUUGAUGCAUAAUUCCCAAAGGCACAUCAUACUGCUAUAGAUUAGCACUAUGACAGCAUUUCUACAGAAGAUUCUCAGAUAGUAUAUCACCUGGAUGGCUGCUUUGUAGUUGACUAAGGAGUUCACUUUGGCUUCAGUUUAAGCCCCAUCAUAUUGCUGCUGGGGCUGCAUUUCUUGCUGCCAAAUUCCUAAAUUAUGAUCUUGCUUUUCACCCGAGUUUUUGGCAUGAAUUCCAGACAGCAUCAUCUAUUCUUCAAGAUGUCGUGCAACAGUUGAUGGAACUCUUCUAAUGACACACCAGUACUCUUACAUGUUUUACUAAAGGUUUGUUAUGCGCCAUAUUUAUAUUGGAUAAAAUAUUUUAAAUAUAAGGAUCUCAAGGUGCUAUCAUGUGAAUGUGUCAGCUAAAUAUCUGCAUAAUGCUUCCUAUAAUUUUUAAUCUGUGGAAGCUUUUUUAUUCUUAAGGCUUAAGCUGCUUAUGGUACUAUUUGUGCCUAUUAACAACCUUUAACAUAGCUGUUGGACAUUCAUAGUUUUACUAAAAGUUGAUCUACAAUUGCCACAUAUUGACUUCUUGGUUCUACUAAUCUUUCUCCUGGCCUUGUGAGGGAACAAAGGUGCUAUGCAUCUUGUUGUUAACUGGUGCUCCAAUGGUGCCUACACAUUGAGAAAUUAAUCUACUUAGAGUGAACGGUGAAACAGGAAUUUGGGUGAUUUAAUGUUAUGGACAUGGUUAAUAUACAUUUCUGCUGAAUCAGUGACUAGAAGUUGUCCAUUUUGCACCCAUGAAAUUAAAAGAAUCUGCUGGUAUUAGCCCUGACAAGUUUUUGACAUAUGGCAUUACCCUGGUUAUAUAAUUGAAUGGCAAAGCAGGAGUCUUGUUGACUGGUCUAACAAGAUUGGAUAUGACUUGCUUGUGUUUAUAGGCAGGAUAAUAAUCAUGUUACAACAAACGGGUAUCAGCUGUUAUAGACUGCCAAAGGCUGGUACCAAUUAGCUUAUUGCAGUGGUCUCUGAAUGAGGUGUUGGAUGAGAACAAAUGUAUUUGGGACUUUAGCCUUCUCACCAAUUAGUACAUGUCCCGUUCACAUACUUCUAAAAUGAUGAAUCCUAUCAGCUAGAAGCGCAAAUGCUUCAAAUUGCAUCCAGUGUUUGUAUUGGAUAACUAUUGAAUA